AAAACUGGCCAUUACCUGACUCUCUCUGUUGCUCCUGUGGGAAUGUAUCUAGUCUAUAUCUGACUCUCAGCAAGUUUCUUUCUCUUCUUUUUGUUGUGUGGAGAUGCAAACUGCAAACUUUCCUUUCCCAGACCAACAGAGGGUCUUUGCAGCUAUUCACAAUCAUUUGCAAGUGGCUUACCUGUGUCCACUGAGUCCUUCCUUUUCAUUCCAUCAUCUUCUAGUCCUUUCCAGUUCCUCAGGAGAACCAUGGCUCCUGGAUGCCUCUGAUUGUCAUGCAACCUUGCAAAUUUGCAAUUUGAAGCAAACUGAUCAAGUGCAGAUAAUAGUUUCCUGUGGACAAUAAAUAUCAGUCAGAGCCUGACUAGCCUUCCACAGAGUCAGGAUAUUUCUGUAACAUAAAUCUUAAAAGCCUAAAAGGCAUAAAAAUAAUUUGUAUUUUCUUCCUUUUUCAGAGAAUGCUGAACUUCAGUUGUCACUGGGAGUCCCAGCAGGCACAUCAUAUUUUCUAUCCUGCAGGCAUGGGUUUGACUUACCUGUUUCCUCACAAAACUAUGUUGGAGUCAGCUUUAUUAUAAGUAAAUUUCCAUGUGGAAGGAAAGAAGCACAGAGGAAAAUGCUGGAACCUGACUGCCCUCUGCAAAUGUCCAUUGAUUAAUUCAGUUAUCUUCAUGAUCCUAGGAUGUUCUGAUUUCAGAGUACCACUGCAACAUAAUAAAAAAACAGCUUGCUGCUAUUUAUUUCUUUAUUGCUAGUAACAGUAAGGCGCACAGUGCAAAGAGAGGAAAUUGUCUCUUGGUAAAGAUUAAAACUUUAAUUUGGGACCUUGUUCGAAGACAUGGUCUAAUUAAAAAAAAAUUCUAUUAAAGAGCUACAAAAUGA